UACGUAGGGUACAAGCAUUAAUCGGAAUUACUGGGCGUAAAGCGCGCGCAGGCGGCUAUCCAAGUCAGUGGUGAAAGCCCGGAGCUCAACUCCGGAACUGCCAUUGAAACUGUUUAGCUUGAGGAUGAGAGAGGUGAGUGGAAUUCCCAGUGUAGAGGUGAAAUUCGUAGAUAUUGGGAAGAACACCGGUGGCGAAGGCGGCUCACUGGCUCAUUACUGACGCUCAGGCGCGAUAGCGUGGGGAUCAAACAGG
rnacentral:rRNA from 1 species